AGCUUUGCUCAGUUGCAGUAUCGUAGCCAAUGAGGUUUAUCUGAGGCGCGAUUAUUGCUAAUUGAAAUUCCGUAUAUAGGCUCUAUAUAGUAGCAGUCAAAAUGAUUCUAAUGAAGCCGGCAAUGAUUCUUCUUAAAAAAUAUAACUAACUAAUAUAUACAAAUGGGUUGUCAUCUUUAGUUUUAUAAUUACAUUUAUGUA
rnacentral:snRNA from 1 species